UACGUAGGGCGCAAGCGUUGUCCGGAUUUAUUGGGCGUAAAGCGUGCGCAGGCGGUUUUGUAAGUCUGUCGUGAAAUCCCCGGGCUUAACCUGGGAAUUGCGAUGGAGACUGCAAGGCUAGAAUCUGGCAGAGGGGGGUAGAAUUCCACGUGUAGCAGUGAAAUGCGUAGAGAUGUGGAGGAACACCGAUGGCGAAGGCAGCCCCCUGGGUCAAGAUUGACGCUCAUGCACGAAAGCGUGGGGAGCAAACAGG
rnacentral:rRNA from 1 species